rnacentral:rRNA from 1 species
UGGUGGAGUGAUUUGUCUGGUUAAUUCCGAUAACGAACGAGAUCUUAUCCUAUUAAAUAGCUAUGCCAAGCGUCUAUGUGGGUGAAACAUCUGGGUCGCACGUUUGCAUUUUGCAAGCGUGUCCCAGGUGCGGAUCCCUGAUGACUUGGCAGAUAUACUUCUUAGAGGGACUUUUUGCGAUUAGCAAAUGGAAGUUUGAGGCAAUAACA